rnacentral:rRNA from 1 species
AGUGAACGCUGGCGGUAGGCCUAACGCAUGCAAGUCGAACGGCAGCACAGUAAGAGCUUGCUCUUACGGGUGGCGAGUGGCGGACGGGUGAGGAAUACAUCGGAAUCUACUUUUUCGUGGGGGAUAACGUAGGGAAACUUACGCUAAUACCGCAUACGACCUACGGGUGAAAGCAGGGGAUCUUCGGACCUUGCGCGAUUGAAUGAGCCGAUGUCGGAUUAGCUAGUUGGCGGGGUAAAGGCCCACCAAGGCGACGAUCCGUAGCUGGUCUGAGAGGAUGAUCAGCCACACUGGAACUGAGACACGGUCCAGACUCCUACGGGAGGCAGCAGUGGGGAAUAUUGGACAAUGGGCGCAAGCCUGAUCCAGCCAUACCGCGUGGGUGAAGAAGGCCUUCGGGUUGUAAAGCCCUUUUGUUGGGAAAGAAAAGCAGAAGGUUAAUACCCCGCUGUUCUGACGGUACCCAAAGAAUAAGCACCGGCUAACUUCGUG